rnacentral:rRNA from 1 species
GACAGAGGGGGCAAGCGUUGCUCGGAAUUACUGGGCGUAAAGGGCGCGUAGGCGGGAUGGCAAGUCGGUCGUGAAAUCCCUCGGCUCAACUGAGGAUCGUCGAUCGAUACUGCCGUUCUUGAGGAUUGCAGAGGAGACUGGAAUUCCCGGUGUAGCGGUGAAAUGUGUAGAGAUCGGGAGGAACACCGGUGGCGAAGGCGGGUCUCUGGGCAAUUCCUGACGCUGAGGCGCGAAAGCCAGGGGAGCAAACGGG